UACGAAGGGGGCUAGCGUUGCUCGGAAUCACUGGGCGUAAAGCGCACGUAGGCGGAUUGCUAAGUCAGGGGUGAAAUCCUGGAGCUCAACUCCAGAACUGCCUUUGAUACUGGCGACCUUGAGUCCGGGAGAGGUGAGCGGAACUGCGAGUGUAGAGGUGAAAUUCGUAGAUAUUCGCAAGAACACCAGUGGCGAAGGCGGCUCACUGGCCCGGUACUGACGCUGAGGUGCGAAAGCGUGGGGAGCAAACAGG
rnacentral:rRNA from 1 species